rnacentral:rRNA from 1 species
AAGAGAUGGCGACCGGCGCACGGGUGAGUAACACGUAUCCAACCUGCCGAUAACUCCGGAAUAGCCUUUCGAAAGAAAGAUUAAUACCGGAUGGCAUACGAAUAUCGCAUGAUAUUUUUAUUAAGGAAUUUCGGUUAUCGAUGGGGAUGCGUUCCAUUAGUUUGUUGGCGGGGUAACGGCCCACCAAGACUACGAUGGAUAGGGGUUCUGAGAGGAAGGUCCCCCACAUUGGAACUGAGACACGGUCCAA